CAGCCUAAGCCUAUAGCAGCAUAACUAUAGAGAUAGCAUCUCCAGAAAUGUGGCCAACUAAAAAGUAUGAACAUGAAAAGUGUGAGCAUGUACAGCACUCCUUGGUUAGGGCUCCUUUUCCCUGGAUCAUUGCAGCAAUGUGGUGUGGGAUGGAGUCCAUCAGUCUGUGGCACUGCUCAGUCAACCCAACUUUAUGUUACUAAGCGUUCCGAACGAGGAAUGCAGUUAUAAUUCCGUGCUACUUAAACUAUCUGAGUGAUCAUCAUUGCCUUACUCAAAAGCUUUGAAUGCACAGAGGCGUGCAACGUAAUGACGUCAGUGCGUCAUAACAUCGACGGGAACCAGCCUGGAAAAUUCAAACCAACAUGGCGGUCAGGAAGCGAGUGAUUGCUCAAGUCAAGAAAACGUGCUGAAGUUGGUACCCAUACAAGGCUAAUGGUAAAUAAGAUCUGUGCUGAGUUCCACAGGAACCAAGAAAGAAACCAGUUUUAUGCAGAACUGGAUCGGAACAUUCCACAGAUCAUAAAUCUUUACUGAAGGAAGGCAGCUCAUACUGGAAGGGUGGCAGGAGCGGGACAUCCUACAGUUGUAUGAAACUAAGAGUGAGGAAUCAGAGAAGCCGGACAUCGGGAACACACCCAUUGGUAUUGUCACGGAGAUCAGAUGAAGAAGUGCAUCUCUACUUCACUUCAGUCCUGCAUCCACAGCCAUUGUGGUUGAAGAUGAAUUUCUCAUGAGGGACAUUACCACAUUUGCUGAUGCAUAUGUGUUACUGUUUGGGGUGGUUUAUGCUUUGCAACUGGACUACCCAAAGAAGGUUGUUGGCACCUUCAAUCUUCUUUCAGAAGGUUCUCAUGGGGUUGGAUGAUGGUGCACCCCUGAAACCUUCUCUGCUUUCUUUGAAAAAUGACCUGCUGUCAAUGUAGACACUAUGUAACUGUCCUCCCUCCCUCCAUUCCUUCCUUCCUUCCUUCCUUCCUUCCUUCCUUCCUUCCUUCCUUCCUUCCUUCCUUCCUUCCUUCCUUCCUUCCUUCCUUCCCCCUUUCUCCUUUUCUUCCCACCAUCCAUUAUGCCAUUUCCCUUCCUAGACCCAUACUGUUGUUUCUUUCUUUUCUUUUCUUCCCUCCUUUCCAUACAUCAUUUCUUCUUCCAUCCUGGACCCUAUCUCUUCUCUUUGCCCAUCCUCCUUUACUUCCUUUCUCCCUUCCUUCUUCCCACCAUCCUUUUUACUUUUGUCCUUGUUAUUGUUCUUGACAUGAUCCAAUCUGUUACUAUUCUCCAUCUUUCUUUUCUUCUUUGAUCCAGGUGGACAACAGGAAGGUUUUCAAAAAGGAUUUUUUUUCUGCUACAGGGAGAAUCAAAAUGGGUUUAAAGCACUGGAAGAGUGUGUGUGUGUGUGUGUGUGUGUCUUAGUAACACUCCAAAUAGAGAUAUACAUGAUGUAUAUUUAUUUAUUUUUUGGCCCCUCUUUUCAAAAAACAUUUUAAAUCAAUAAAAUAACUUAUUUUUAUUAGAUUUUUUUUUCUAUUUCUGUGCAAUGACUACAUCUUUAGAUGUACUUUUUUGGUUAUUUAUUGAAUUUAUUAUUUAUUCAUUUAAAGUUAUUUAUUGUCUUAAGUUACAUUUUUCAAGUAGAAAGGCCAUAGCUGUAAGUUCACUAGAAGAUGGUUUUGGAAGUUUUUAAAGGCCAUACCUUUACACUGAGUACAAGUUCCCUGUAUCAGUUACACAUGUUUGCAAAGAAUUUGUGCACACACCCAUACAGAUGUGUGUAUGUGGUGUUGGUUUAUCUACAGUUUUGGAGAAAAGGCAUUUGAAUAAAAACAUUGAAAAUA